rnacentral:tRNA from 1 species
GGCUCCGUAGCUCAGCUGGAUAGAGCAGCCGCCUUCUAAGCGGCAGGUCGUUGGUUCGAGCCCAACCGGAGUCG